CCUGAUGACUCAGAUGGUAAAGAAUCUGCCUUCAGUGCAGGAGACCUGGGUUCAAUCCCGGGGUCAGGA
rnacentral:tRNA from 1 species